UCCAGGCAGCCAGCAGGCCCAGGGCUGGUGUGGCCUUGCUGCUUCCUUUGGCAGCUCUCGAGGUCUAGGGGGAGGGGUCCUGGACCAACUGGGGUCUGUCAGGUCAUCCCUGCAGCCACAGCCCACCCCACAGGGACCCCUGCCUUCCAACAGAGAGGACAGCCCUCUUCCUGGAGCUGGGAUCUGACACUGGCUGGUGCCGACAGCAGAUACCAGAGUCAAGUGCAGAGGAAGGUGUGGAGCAACCAGAACUCCUAGAUGCUACUGACCAAAGUGACAGUUGGGGGGCAAGAUCGAGCAAUUUGCCAACAUCUCAUCAAAGUGAAGAUGCCCACUGCCUGAAAUCCAGAAAUUCCACUCCUCCACAUUAUCCUAGAGAAACUCUCACCCACAGAAGAGGAAACUGAGGCCCAGAGGUGGCGAGUGUCUGAGGUCCCUCUGCAAGUCGGGACCAGAGCCAGGACCAGAACUGGGCUCUGGAGGCCAGGCCCCGUCUGGGAAGCUGCCCACUGGAUGUGCUUCUCUGGGCUCUGCCCAGGGAAGGGCCAGCUGCUCUCUCUGUGUCUCAGCACCUCCUCUGCCUUCCUCAUGCCUGUUUGGAUAACUUUUUGACCUGUUCCUUCACAAGCUCUCCCUGAGGUGUGGCUGCCUCCGUUGCUUGUCCCAGGGAAUCCUGGGGCCUUGGCUGUGUGACGGCCCAGGCUUGGCCAGUCCCGUGGCAGACAGUUGUUAAAUAGUGGCUGUCUGGGCAGAGGGAGGACUAUUUACCCAGGGCAGGGCCCAGGCAGAGGCUGCAGCUUCCUCCUCACGUCACCGGCCCAUCCAGCCAUUCAGCAUACUGACUCAGCUGUCCCCUUCUGCAUUUGCUCAUUCCACAAAUAUUUAUGGAGCGCCUACUGUGUGCCAAGCACUGUUCUACAUGCUGAGGAUAUAGCAAGACGGCCAGAUUCCCCACUCUCGCGGAACUGACAUCGUAGUGGAGGAAACAGAUGAUAAACAGAUCAGUGAAUUCACAAUUCCAGAGCUGUAGAGGAUAAAGGGAUUGGUAGUAAUGGCUGGAGGAGAGGCAGUCUUAGAUGGGGUGGUCAAGGAAGGCCGCUCUGAGUGGGGACAUUUGAGCUAAGAACCAAACUAGGAGAAGAAAUCAGUUAUGGGAAGAUCUGGGUAAAGGGUGGUCCUGGCAAAAGGAACCCCAAGUACAAAGGCCCUAGGGCAGGAAUGUGCUUGGCAUGAUUGAAGGACAGUAGAAAGGCCCAAAUGGCUGAAGUGGAGUGAGCAAAAGGGAGAAAGACAGGAGAGGCCAACAGAAGGGCAGACAAGAGUCAGACCCCAGGGGUCCUUUUAGGUCAGGGAAAAGAACUUAGCUUUUCUUUUCAGUGUGACACAAAGCAAUUAGAAGGUAUUCAGCAGGGAUUUUAAAUGCAACUGUAUCUUGAAUUUCUAACUUUAACUCCCCCCUUUCCCUUUAUGGCUUUCUGUCCCAGGACUCUUGUUUUCAAGUACCGUUGAGGGUGUCUGAAGUAGUGUUUAACUAUUCCCUUUUCCUUUUUAAUUUAAAAAUUGUUUCGAAAAUUUUAUGAAAGCUCUAUACGUACACAAUUGAAAAAAUCAAAUACUUCUACAAAGCUGAUAAUAAAUUGCAGUAGGGCUUCCCUGGUGGCGCAGUGGUUGAGAAUCCACCUGCCAAUUCAGGGGACACGGGUUCGAGCCCUGGUCCAGGAAGAUCCCACAUGCCGGGGAGCAACUAAGCCGGUGCGCCACGACUACUGAGCCUGUGCUCUAGAGCCCAUGAGCCAUAACUACUGAGCCUGCGUGCUGCAACUACUGAAGCCCGUGUGCCUAGAGCCUGUGCUCCGCAACAAGAGAAGCCACUGCAAUGAGAAGCCUGUGCACUGCAACGAAGAGUAGCCCCCGCUCACCACAACUAGAGAAAGCCUGCGCGCAGCAACGAAGACCCAAUGCAGCCAAAAUAAAAUAAAUAAGUAAAUAAAUUUAUUUUUUUAAAAAAAAGAGAUAAAAUAAUCAACAAGGACCUACUGUAUAGCACAGGGAACUCUACUCAGUACUCUGUAAUAACCUAAAAUGGAAAAGAAUCUGAAAAAGAAUAGAUGUAUGUAUAUGUAUAACUGAAUCACUUUGCUGUACA